AUGUCCCUUUGGAGACGGGAUCGCGCUCCCGGAGCCUUCAGCCUACCGCGGCCCCCGCUGCGGAGCAGGGACCGGCCCGGCGGGCCCGGGGCUGGCACCAGGGUCUCGCCUGCCAAGGCUGGUUUCAAAACUGACGCCGGACCCCGUGCCCACUCCCGGAGCCCACCCAAGGGGAAGGCGAGGGAAAGAAAGCGGAGCGCCGCGCGCUGUUGCCAUGGCCACAGGAGACUUUUGAUGUGAAGCGCGGGGACCCCCCGCCCCUCUCCUUCAGGAUGACGUCACGCGCGUCCGCGCCCGGGCCGGGCGGCCGUGGGUCGGUCUGGGCUUUAAAGCGGCCGUUCUCCCCUGCUGCCCGCAGCCGCAGCGAGAGUCCGCACAGGCCGGACGGCGCUCGGACUCCGGCCCUGCUUCCCGCCUGGCGGCGCAGCCACGCCUCGGGACAGGACAGACCUUCCGAGAGAGAAAGAAGUGGAGAGCAGCGGUCUUCCUCCCGGCCAUGGCGACGCGUGCCAGGCAGCAAGACCUGUUGCUGCAGAAAAGCGGCCCGGCUGGGUGUUUCAGGCCUCUCCCCGCCCUCCCUGCCCCGGCCGGCGGCAAUCUUCCAUCAGAGAGGGAGGCGCGUCCCGAGGUCUGAGCGCAGAAGUCCUGGGUCUCUGCCUGAAGACACGCAGAGAGCCCAGCGCUGA
rnacentral:lncRNA from 1 species